UACGGAGGAUGCAAGCGUUAUCCGGAAUGAUUGGGCGUAAAGCGUCCGCAGGCGGCCAUGUAAGUCUGCUGUCAAAGCGUCUGGCUCAACCAGAUAAAGGCAGUGGAAACUACAUAGCUAGAGUAAGGUAGGGGUAGAGGGAAUUCCUGGUGUAGCGGUGAAAUGCGUAGAGAUCAGGAAGAACACCGGUGGCGAAAGCGCUCUGCUGGACCGAAACCGACACUGAGGGACGAAAGCGUGGGGAGCAAACAGG
rnacentral:rRNA from 1 species